AAUGAACGCUGGCGGCGUGCCUAACACAUGCAAGUCGAACGAGGCGGAAGGGGGCAACUCCUUCCAGUCGAGUGGCGGACGGGUGAGUAACACGUGGGUAACCUGCCCGGAAGUGGGGAAUACCUCGGGGGAAACUCGAGCUAAUACCGCAUGACAUCUUCGGGGACGAAAGUCCUGACGAAUCAAAGCGGGGGUCGCAAGAUCUCGCGCUACCGGAUGGGCCCGCGCCCGAUUAGCUAGUUGGUGAGGUAACGGCUCACCAAGGCUUCGAUCGGUAACCGGCCUGAGAGGGCGAUCGGUCACACCGGAACUGAGACACGGUCCGGACUCCUACGGGAGGCAGCAGUGGGGAAUCUUGCGCAAUGGGCGAAAGCCUGACGCAGCAACGCCGCGUGGAGGAUGAAGGCCUUGGGUUGUAAACCUCUUUCAGCUCCGACGAAGCGAAAGUGACGGUAGGAGCAGAAGAAGC
rnacentral:rRNA from 1 species